rnacentral:lncRNA from 1 species
GGGUUGUGUUAGGCCCAACCACGAUCUCUAAUAUGGUAUCAGAGCCUCUUCACGAUUCUUUGGGCCACCUGUUAUCAGGUUUCCGUUAUCGGGCCAUCCGUCAUUUAUGUUCAUGCUUCAGAUGAGCGUGAGGGAGUGUGUUAAAGAGUCCCACAUCGGUUAGGAGUUGGCAUGACAAUUUGUUUAUAAGUGGGGGCAAUCCUCAC